UUUACUCCUUCACUUGUUCUCCCACAGUUGUUAUUGUUAGCAGAUCUCAGCACACUCUUGUUGCUCUCUAAAGAAGAAAUGUUGGGUGAAGAUGACCAUGAACUCGUUGGGAGCUCUGUCCCAUCAGUUUCACCAAAGCCAGUGAGAGGUCCUUUGAGUAUUUCAGAAUGGACUUUUGGUGAAGUUGCUUUAUCACUGUUAUUUCCUUCUUCAUUUGAAAACUCAGGAGCUUUAACAGCAAUAGUUUUUGAAAAUUUUGAAGAUGAAGUUAACAAUCCAGCAUGUGCAGAUGCUAAAGCAUCAUCAAUUGAUAAACCAAGUUUUUGUUUCUCCUUUGGAGAUUCCGUCACUGGUUCUGCUGCAUCAUCUUUUUCUUCAUCAUCUGAUUUCAUCGCAUCAUCUUCUUCAUCAUCAUCACAAUUUGAAAUCUCUGGAGCAGUAACUACAACACUAGGAUGCGACCCAGAAGCGUUCAGUGAAACAGGGGGAACAUCAGACUGAGCAGAUGAAACAGCUGGUACUGAAUCCUUCUUAUUGGCAUCAGAAGCUGCAUAACUAAGAUCUGCACCACUGUUAUAUAGGGAACUGGUCUCUGAUUCACUGCAAGAAAAUUCAGGAGCAGAUAUUCUGUUGCAAGAAAGCAACCCCGAAUUCUGGGUUUUCUUAGUGAGCACUUCAAGUUGCUGCUCUACUCUUUGGAGCCUCUCAUCAAUGCUUCUUAUGGGCUUUAGCAUACAAUCCUCAAACCUCAAAAAGAGAUCUUCCAUUCUGGUAACUCGAGAAACAAGCUGGUGCAGAACACCUUCAAUAUGAUUGUGUGAUAUAUCAGGCUUGCUCUCUUUAUCUGAUACUUGUGGAGGAAUCUCCAGCUCAACCGGUUUGGCAGGUACUGUAAGGUCAAUGCAAUUGCCUGGGGAAUCACCUUCAUCCCCCUCACUGUGCAGCAAGUGUCCAUUUACUCCUUCACUUGUUCUCCCACAGUUGUUAUUGUUAGCAGAUCUCAGCACACUCUUGUUGCUCUCUAAAGAAGAAAUGUUGGGUGAAGAUGACCAUGAACUCGUUGGGAUCUCUGUCCCAUCAGUUUCACCAAAGCCAGUGAGAGGUCCUUUGAGUAUUUCAGAAUGGACUUUUGGUGAAGUUGCUUUAUCACUGUUAUUUCCUUCUUCAUUUGAAAACUCAGGAGCUUUAACAGCAAUAGUUUUUGAAAAUUUUGAAGAUGAAGUUAACAAUCCAGCAAGUGCAGAUGCUAA
rnacentral:lncRNA from 1 species